GUAGGCACCAAGCGUUGUCCGGAUUUAUUGGGCGUAAAGAGCUCGUAGGCGGUUCGGUAAGUCGGGUGUGAAAACUCUGGGCUCAACCCAGAGCCGCCACCCGAUACUGCUGUGACUCGAGUGCGGUAGGGGAGCGGGGAAUUCCUGGUGUAGCGGUGAAAUGCGCAGAUAUCAGGAGGAACACCAGUGGCGAAGGCGCCGCUCUGGGCCGUGACUGACGCUGAGGAGCGAAAGCGUGGGUAGCAAACAGGAUUAGAUACCCUGGUAGUCCACGCCGUAAACGUUGGGCACUAGGUGUGGGUCUCAACCAACGAGAUCCGCGCCGUCGCUAACGCAUUAAGUGCCCCGCCUGGGGAGUACGGCCGCAAGGCUAAA
rnacentral:rRNA from 1 species